CUCUGCAAGAGGACAGCAGCUCCGGGCCGUCCGUCCGUCUACCGCAGCUCGGCCCCUCAGAUGUCCUGCAGCCAGAAGUCAGGGAGACGUCUGCGCCAAAGUCCCGAGAUGCUGCUAACUGGGAGGCUGCAUUCCCGACGGCCUGUUUGGAGGAUGACCAGUUGAUUGAACAAACACCAAAAUGUCCCUUUAAACCCCAUAUGAUCCCACAACACGACUUUUCUUUUUUCUUUUUUUUUAAAACCCCUAAUUAAUUUACAAAUAACAGUUUGCACGGCCAGACCGCACUGUGCGCUCGGCGCACGCCACCGAAUCGCCGGAAGUCGCGGAAGGGCAGAUGAUUCAGUUUCAGGUGACAAAACGCACGAAAGCACGAAAUAAAAUCGAGGUGUGUAUCUACCACGACCAAAAUAAAAAAGGUUUGCUGUCCACGUGCACGAUUGAAACAUUUGUCCGCCUACCCGGGUCACGUGUUCACCAGACAUAAAACCACCACUGAUUGAAUGUGCACCGCGAGACUGUUCAAGAAAAUACCUUUUUAAUAAAUGGCACGAAAACACUUUUCAAUUAAAAAUAGAAAAACUGUCGGAAGAAGUAGACUUGAGUGCAUUAGUUUGCAAACACAUCUGUUGGAAGACUGCGCGGAAACACUGCCCAGUAAUCAAAGUUAAAACAUUAAAAAAAUCACAUCCCUUGAAUUUCAUUUAUAUGAGAAAAGAAGUGACCUAAUAAUUAAAACAAAACGCCAGAACAACACGUGGAUGACAAUUAAAGUAGAUCAUAUUCAUUAGCACUAUAUAUUUAUUAUUAACAAACUGUUGUUUGUUUAAACAAGUUUACACAAUUGACCCGAUAAUUUAAAAUAUGCUCAUUAAAAAAGAAAAAUCUGCACACUGAAUCAUUAAUGCUACAUAGAGGAAGCCUACUGUCGGUUAAUGUAGCUUAAAUAAUAAUUCAUAGUCCCAUGUCCUGAUUAUCCAUAUGGUUACAGCAGUUGACCUCGUUUCAUUCAUUCCCGUUUGUUUGUUUUUUUGAAAAAAUGUCAACAAAAUUGUUCACUGCUGGUCGACCAUUUUACUUACCACAAAUCUCAAACCAUUUUUGUUUAGGAAAUCUAAAGCAUCACAACCAUUCAGAUUAUUGUAGUUGGUGGAGAAGGAAAGAAGGCACAAUAAUAAGACCACAAAAAAUUUUUUUAGGCGUAAACCCUUGAUUUAUAUCAUCAAAACAAAGUGAAAAAUAAGAAACAGCCCACCAUGUGAAAGUUGUGUUGCUUCUAAAUUUUUCUCGGUAGAAAAUAAUAUAUAUUAUAGUUCAAAGGUUAAAAAACAAAGUGGGGGGCAUCGGCCCAGAUCAUGUAAGUCGACCUACGAGUGUCAAUUAGGCUGAGCUUUGGUUUACUGAAAGCCCGGCGGUGCCUCUAAACCAGCCAUUACUGAUACCGCACUGGUUUAAGAGCCAACGUGAUGUGGGCAACACGUUGUGGGAUCAGGCAGGCAAAGCUCAGACUCUCUAAACUCCUAAAUGCUUGUCUGUAAACCCCAAAAUGUCUUUCCUCCCCCAUCCAAAUUAGUUUACCAAAGUUUUAAACCUCGAGCUGGAAUGUUGCUGCAAACCACAACUGACAUGUUGAACGAGCCCGGGCCAUAAAUGUUCACUUAACUAAGACGGACCUGCUACUGGCUAUUGUUUUACCAGUGAGGAGGGACGAAUCUGACCUUUAAUCAACAGGUCAACAUUUGAUCGGAUGAGUUAUUAUAUACUGAAGUGUGUAAUGAGGAUGACAAUUCAGCCGUUUCCGAUUAGAAAGAAUUUGAGGUUUGAGCAAUUUAAAACGAUCAAACAGACGUUGACUAAACACAGUGGCACAGAGGAGCAGUUAAAUGACCAAAAAUCUCAUAACCAUCAUUUGUGAGACGACUUAUAAUUACAAAUGAUGACGGUGGUCAAAAGGCAAAGCAGUAAAACCGAGGACAAAACAACAAAAAAGAAAUGUAUGUCCUCAGAAGUGAAGAUGAAACCAAACCACAUUCGCAUGGACUUUAUACUUAAAAUAAAGCAGAAAAAAGCCCUUUGUAAAAGCUUCAAUAGGCGGUUUACAAAAUUCCAAUAUAUCAUCUCCAAGUUUGCUCCUCGAGGUUGAACUGCUACGGUCGAACAAGACUAACUCAACUACAAACAUGUAAGAAAUAGAGAAAAGGGCUAAUAUAGUGUGACCGUUAGAUUGAUAACAGAGCCAACUGCACACAAAACACGCCUGCAAGGAUACAAAGUGCACCACAAUACAAAUAAAAAGCAAAGGCCACAUCUCUAACAUCUCUCACUGCCCUCUAAUAAAUGCACUGCACUAGGACCUCGUGUCAAACUGGGGUGCAACUUCCCCCUUACCCACCAAUCUCCAUUCAUCUCCCCGCAAAAACAAGGAAUUGUGCGAGAGGAGCAAGAGGAAUUGGAAAGGAGUGGAAAACACAGAGGUCUCUCUGUCCUCGCCGGCCGAGACAUUUUAUCCCCACGUUGUCGAGCAUUAGAAAUGUCAGCCGGGCCCUGGACGGACACAGGAGGGCCCCGCUGGCCCACGCUCACACUGGCUGCAUCCUUUACGCUCUGCCAUGCAAAUAAACCCCGAAUGAGAGAGCAGCUGAGGGGGGAGCAGGAAAGAAAAACACAGAAAAAUAAAAAUAAAUUAAAGGAAGGAGGGAAGCAAGAGCGAAGGAUGGGACGGCUGCAAAGAGGAAUUGGAGAAACGUAGGUGGCGAGUGAGGAAGGAAGGAAACACUUGGUCUGAAGUAGCCCUGUAUGGGGACAUGAAAAAAGGAGUGUGUGUGGUGUGUGCGACAGAAAGAGAAAAGGAGUGGGUACCAUCCGGCCUCUGGAGGGGCGAGGAAUGCCCGGCGCUGGCACGGGAGAAUGGGAGAUGCAGGGUGGAGUAUGUUCACUGUGCGGCUGCCAGCAGAGCACAUUCCCGCUGCACAGUCAUGGAGACUUUUUAACCUAAAGAUGUGGAAGCAGCAGCACCAGCAGGAGAGCAAGACUCGUGCUCCGCUUUACGAAACCCAACAAACGCCUGGAAAAUGAUCCCGAAAGCAACAAUGGGUUUUAUUUUUCACUGGGAGACGGACAGCAAAGACGGACUUGAGUCCUCACACUUCCUGAUGAGUGCACAUUUCCAUUAAAAAAAUAAAUGCUUUUCAAGAACACUUAAACGUGUUUGAUGAAAGGGAAUUAAAAUGUCAAGAUGAACUCAGGUUUUAAUACACUGAUAUUUUAUAUGUUAUUAUGACAUUUAUUCAUUCAAUUUACUUGUAAAUACUUUAACUCCACAUGAGUUCAUUCACUCGGACAAAUAAAAAACAUCCAAAAAGGCAAAA